rnacentral:rRNA from 1 species
GAAGAAUGCAAGUCGGACGAGAUUUUCCGUUGUAGCAAUACGAUGGAAAGUCUAGUGGCGAACGGGUGCUUAACACGUGGGCAACCUGCCAGGAAGUGGGGGAUAGCUCGCCGAAAGGCGAAUUAAUACCGCAUGUGAUUAGAGAGGACAUCCUUUCCAAAUUAAAGCUGGGGCAACCUAGCGCUUCUUGUGGGGCCCGCGGCCUAUCAGCUAGUUGGUGAGGUAACGGCUCACCAAGGCUUUGACGGGUAGCUGGUCUGAGAGGACGACCAGCCACACUGGGACUGAGACACGGCCCAGACACCUACGGGUGGCAGCAGUCGAGAAUUUUUCUCAAUGGGGGAAACCCUGAAGGAGCGACGCCGCGUGGAGGAUGAAGGUCUUCGGAUUGUAAACUCCUGUCAUUGGGGAACAAGGUGCAUACGUUAACUGCGUGUGCAUUGAUAGUACCCGAAGAGGAAGAGACGGCUAACUCUGUGCCAGCAGCCGCGGUAAUACAGAGGUCUCAAGCGUUGUUCGGAUUCAUUGGGCGUAAAGGGUGCGUAGGCGGCGCGGUAAGUCGGGUGUGAAAUCUCGGAGCUUAACUCCGAAACUGCAUUCGAUACUGCCGUGCUUGAGGACUGGAGAGGAGACUGGAAUUUACGGUGUAGCGGUGAAAUGCGUAGAUAUCGUAAGGAA